UACGUAGGCAGCGAGCGUUGUUCAGAAUUACUGGGCGUAAAGAGUGUGUAGGCGGUGCUCUAAGUUCGGUGUGAAAUCUCCCGGCUUAACUGGGAGGGUGCGCCGGAAACUGGAGUGCUCGAGCGUGGGAGAGGAAAGCGGAAUUCCUGGUGUAGCGGUGAAAUGCGUAGAUAUCAGGAGGAACACCUGCGGUGUAGACGGCUUUCUGGACCAUUGCUGACGCUGAGACACGAAAGCGUGGGUAGCAAACAGG
rnacentral:rRNA from 1 species